UGUCGUCAGCUCGUGUCGUGAGAUGUUGGGUUAAGUCCCGCAACGAGCGCAACCCUUAUCAUUAGUUGCUACGCAAGGGCACUCUAAUGAGACUGCCGGUGGACAAACCGGAGGAAGGUGGGGAUGACGUCAAGUCCUCAUGGCCCUUAUGGGUAGGGCUUCACACGUCAUACAAUGGUCGGUACAGAGGGUUGCCAAGCCGCGAGGCGGAGCCAAAUCCCAAAAGCCGAUCGUAGUCCGGAUUGUUCUCUGCAACUCGAGAGCAUGAAGUCGGAAUCGCUAGUAAUCGCGGAUCAGCAUGUCGCGGUGAAUACGUUCCCGGGUCUU
rnacentral:rRNA from 1 species